rnacentral:tRNA from 95 species
GGAGGGGUGGCAGAGUGGUUGAAUGCGGCGGUCUCGAAAACCGUUUGGCCUGUAUAAGGUCACGAGGGUUCGAAUCCCUCCUCCUCCGCCA